rnacentral:sRNA from 1 species
CUUUAGCCCAGAUGGCAAUGAAAACCAAAACAGGUUGUAAACUUUAGUUUUCUGGCUGUAGAAGAGCGACCAAAGGAAGCUCCUUAUACAGACUGAAAAACUGUUUAGAACCUGUUUUUGGUUGUAAUGAACAGCUGGAUUAGCU